rnacentral:lncRNA from 1 species
GACAGAUGACCAACUCAUAAAAGAGUUUCUUAGUGGUUCUUACUGCUUUCGGUGUCGGUUGGUGGAAAUAUGAAUUCUGCUAUGGCAAACAUGUACAUCAAUACCAUGAGGACAAGGAUAGUGGGAAAACCUCUGUGGUUGUCGGGACAUGGAACCAAGAAGAGCAUAUUGAAUGGGCUAAGAAGAAUACUGCUAGAGCUUAUCAUCUUCAAGACGAUGGUACCCAGACAGUCAGGAUGGUGUCACAUUUUUAUGGAAAUGGAGAUAUUUGUGAUAUAACUGACAAACCAAGACAGGUGACUGUAAAACUAAAGUGCAAAGAAUCAGAUUCACCUCAUGCUGUUACUGUAUAUAUGCUAGAGCCUCACUCCUGUCAAUAUAUUCUUGGGGUUGAAUCUCCAGUGAUCUGUAAAAUCUUAGAUACAGCAGAUGAAAAUGGACUUCUUUCUCUCCCCAACUAAAGGAUAUUAAAGUUAGGGGAAAGAAAAGAUCAUUGAAAGUCAUGAUAAUUUCUGUCCCACUGUGUCUCAUUAUAGAGUUCUCAGCCAUUGGACCUCUUCUAAAGGAUGGUAUAAAAUGACUCUCAACCACUUUGUGAAUACAUAUGUGUAUAUAAGAGGUUAUUGAUAAACUUCUGAGGCAGACAUUUGUCUCGCUUUUUUUCAUUUUUGUUGUGUCUUAUAAACUGACUGUUUUUCUUUGCUUGGAUACUGUGAUUCCAAAAUAAAUCUCAUCCAAGCAAGUUAGAGUCCAGCCUAAUCAAAUGUCAUAAUUGUUGUACCUAUUGAAAGUUUUUAAAUAAUAGAUUUAUUAUGUAAAUUAUAGUAUAUGUAAGUAGCUAAUGAAGUAAAGAUCAUGAAGAAAGAAAUUGAUAGGUGUAAAUGAGAGACCAUGUAAAAUAUGUAAAUUCUAGUACCUGAAAUCCUUUCAACAGAUUUUUAUAUAGCAACUGCUCUCUGCAAGUAGUUAAACUAGAAACUGGGCACAUGGUAGAGGCUCACAUGGGAGUUGUCCUCACCCUUGUUAAUCUCAAGAAACUCUUAUUUAUAAUAGGUUGCUUCUCUCUCAGAACUUUUAUCUAUUACUUUUUUCUUCUUAUGAGUAUGUUUACUCUCAGAGUAUCUAUCUGAUGUAGACAGUUGGUGAUGCUUCUGAGACUCAGAAUGGUUUACUCUAACAAAACACUGUGCUGUCUAUCCCUUGUACUUGCCUACUGUAAUAUGGAUUUCACUUCUGAACAGUUUACAGCACAAUAUUUAUUUUAAAGUGAAUAAAAUGUCCACAAGCAGUGUUGUCAUGU